rnacentral:rRNA from 1 species
GAUGAAGCCCCUUCGGGGGUGGAUUAGUGGCGAACGGGUGAGUAACACGUGGGCAAUCUGCCCUGCACUCUGGGACAAGCCCUGGAAACGGGGUCUAAUACCGGAUACGACCCUCGGCCGCAUCGCCUCUGGGUGGAAAGCUCCGGCGGUGCAGGAUGAGCCCGCGGCCUAUCAGCUUGUUGGUGAGGUAACGGCUCACCAAGGCGACGACGGGUAGCCGGCCUGAGAGGGCGACCGGCCACACUGGGACUGAGACACGGCCCAGACUCCUACGGGAGGCAGCAGUGGGGAAUAUUGCACAAUGGGCGCAAGCCUGAUGCAGCGACGCCGCGUGAGGGAUGACGGCCUUCGGGUUGUAAACCUCUUUCAGCAGGGAAGAAGCGUAAGUGACGGUACCUGCAGAAGAAGCGCCGGCUAACUACGUGCCAGCAGCCGGGGUAAUUCCA